GUGGACGGGAUGGACGAUGAAAGCCUAUGUUUCAUGGAGAGUCUGAGUGACAGCAACCAUGAUGAAAGUGAUACAGACUCAGUGGUGGAGAGCAUGAGCAGCCGCCAGGAUGAGGAGGCUGCAGCAACCCUCGAUGAUGUUGUGGAGGCCGGCGGGAGUGAGAAGACGGAGGAAGAGGCCCUGGCUGGGGCAAAUGAGGAGGAGGUGGGGCCGGGAACUGAGAAGGUGCAGGAGGAGGCUGCCUGCAUUGACGAGGCAGAGGAGGAGGCAGGCCCAUCCCUUGAAAAUGACGAGGAGUCCCCAGCCAGCGACCUGGUUGAGCAGGAAGACCAGCUUGCCCCCAAGGUAAGCUCACCUUUCUUGAUCGGAGAUUUAAAAAGGUGCCUCCUUUCUUCUUGG
ensembl:lncRNA